UGUGCUAGUCUGAUUGAGCACACUGCAC
rnacentral:piRNA from 1 species